CUCUUCUCUCUCUCCCGGCCUCUCUGCCUACUUGUGAUCUCUCUCUGUCAAAUAAACAAAAUCUUUAAAAAAUAUAUAUAUUUGCUUCAAAAUGUUAUGGGGGCUAUGGGGAUGGGCAGUGUGUUGAGAAUUGUUUAGUUAGUAAGGGGAGUUCCUCAUACCAUUCUACUUGGGUGUGUGUCUGUGUAUCUGUAUGUUUAUAUCGUGUGAGUGUGAGUGUGUGUGUGUAGUAUGCGUGUAUGCAUGUGUAUUAUAUACAAUUGUAAAUUUCCAUAACUGAAGCUCACAAGCUUGCUAUGGGUGACCUAGAGACUGUGCACGUGGCGCCUGGUGCCAGCAGGUGGGGAGGCUGGACAAGCUGAGACGGUGGGUUCGCAGGAGCAGCAGCAGUGCCAGCCUUCCCGGGCUCGGUGUGCAGUGGGCUGUUGGUGGUGUCUGGCUGUCGAGCUUCACUUUAUGCCUGUUGUUUUUUUCAUGUUUUGUAUUGUUCUUUUGCCUUCCUAAUAGCCUUUCAGUAAAUUCUUUUUCUGUUAAAUUCAGUCAGGAUCAGUUUCUGUGAAGCAAGAAUUCUGCCUUACAGAAGAAAAGGGUGAAGUUGAUGUAUAGGGAAUAUCUGAUUUGACAGACUGUGAGAGGAGAGAGAGGAAUUAGAAGAAAUAGAUAUAUAAAAAAUAUAUGUCAUUUAUAUAUCUAACAAUGAAAAUUUACAGAGUGUGUAUAGUAUAUAUAUUUAUAUGCACAUAUAUAUGUAUAUAAUAUUUGAAAGCAAGAGAAUCUCAUGGCUUCUGUUUUUCUUGUUCUUAACUUCUAUCCCUCUCGAGACCACAGUUUAAUUCUUCCUCAGGGAUAUUAUGAGAUAGCCCCAUAUUUCUUUCUUUUCUUUUUUUUUUUUUUAAGAUUUUAAAAAAAAGAGAGAUCACAAAUAGGCAGAAAGGCAGGCAGAGAGAGAAGGGGAAGCAGGCUUCCCACCAAGCAAAGAGCCAGAUAUGGGGCUCAAUCCCAGGACCCUGAGACCAUGAUCUGAGCCACAGGCAGAGGCUGAACCCACUGAGCCACCCUGGUGCCCCCCCCAUUUCUUUAAAUAAGAAACUCUCCUUCCUACUUAAAUAAAUGCAAGUGGUCUCUGUCACCUACAACCCAGAGGAGCUCAGCAUAACUUAGAUGAUGAUGUGCUCACCUAACCACUUUUUGCUAUACCUGCUUUUGCUUACCGCUGUGUAGAGGUUCCACAAACGUCUGUUUAAUGGGCACAUGAUUGUCAUUUGGCUCCAGACAAGGAACGAAUGUGCAGUUCAUGGCAGCAGAGGCACUCUGGUCUUCUUGGUCUUUCAAUAAUCAUUGUAAGUGGCACACUUAUUGAGAGUUCUUUCUGUUGUACGUGCCUGUCUUUCGUAAGUUUUGUCGGCAACCUUCAGUGUCUCUGAACACCACUGACUGUAGGGUCCUCAGUCCUUGGGUUUGUGAGGCACAAGGAAUGAAUGAAUCCAGCGGGGCCCCUUGAGAAACACCUGCUGGACUCUCCCCGUGGGUCCUAUACCGAUGGACACAGGCCAUUCCAACUUCAUCAAUGAAGGUGGCAUAUAAGGUGGGAGAGUGUUCAGGCAGGGUGGCCUGGGUUUUCUGAGAACAGGCUUUGAGGCAAAUAGCCUUAGGCUAUCACUCUAACUCUACCCCAUGCUUCUGUGCUUCCUUAGGCCUGUUAUCUAACCUCUCUGUGCCUUGGUUUCCUCGUCUGUAAAAUGGACUGUUUUAAGGAUUAAAUGUAAAAAAUAUGUAUACAUACGUAAAUUCACAGAGAAGAUGGCACAUGGGGAACACUCUAGAAGUGGUGUUUUUAUUAUUACUCAACAUUGUGGUUAAUAUUAUCAUAGGGACAUUCUUCCGGUAUAAAGAGCAUGAAGCACGAGAUGCUCCAUGAAGAGGAUGGUCAAUGUUUUGGCCCCUUCCAGGCCCUGCAGUUGCCAUGAUGCCAUUUACCCAUCAGCUCAGGGGUCUCAUGCUUAGGUGACCCCUUCUGGGCCAGCACAUUAAUUAUGCAGCCUUGGUAGCUCCCAGGGGCCUGGUCUGGUGGGGAGGGUUUGUGUGUCUGAGCUCUUGGGUCCUGGCUACCUGGACUCCACCACCUUCUACCUGUGUGACAUUCGGGACCUAAUAACCCCAUGACAGGAAAGCAGUUGGGUCUCUCCCAUAGGGCUGUUGGUGACGAUUAGAUGGAAUGACACAUAUAAAAUGCCUGGCACGUGUCAAGAAAUGUUUUACCUCAUUGCAUUUUCUCAUUCUUUUUUACUAGCUCCUAGAACAACCCAUUUCUGCCCGUUUCUGUUUCAGAGAGGUGUGGUAAUUCGCUGCAGGGCAUACUGUUAGGCGAGUAAGUUGAGAAAAAGACCUUGCAGGUGUAGGAAAGAGCAUGAGUAAAAGCAGGGAAGAGAGAACCUGCUGUGAAGCUGCAGGUAACCGGGCGUGGCUGGAGAGCCAGGUGUGGGUGAGGGAAGGGCGAGGGAUGAGUUUAGGAAGGACUUUGGAUGCCCUGGGCUGAAAGACAGUGGGAGCCUGAGGGAUUUUGAAUUUGGAGUGACCUCGUUUAAUUUGCAUUUUCAGAGCAUUCCAGAGGGGAGGUUGGAGGAGGAACCAGUAGAGAUGGAGUGACUCCAGAGGAGGACUAUCUUUUCUGAGGGAUCAGGGCAGGGGUUUGAAGCAGGACAUGAUAAGGUCUGGGUCCUUAAGAAAGGCACAGCCCACUGGGGAAGAAGAGGCCUGCAUGGGAGGGAAAAUGACGUAGUACAGUGCCCAGCAUGGAUGCCAAGAGCAUGCAGCCUUGGUGAACUGCUGGUCACUCAGGUAUACGGUGCCAGGUCCCAUACACAGAGCAGUGUAUUCAGAUCAGAUGGAAUCGGAACAAUAGAUUCUCCCAGUUCUGCCUUCAUCAACAGAACUCAGGAGUUAGCUUCCUCAAGUCCUGCUUUAUUAUGGCUGCUCUCUCUUCCCAAGGGCUCUAUGUGUGUGUUGGAACAAGGGACCAACAUCUUAGUCAUUGAUCCAGGAGAGAAAACUUAUUUGCAUUUGUGGGAUGCUACCUGCCUCCAGCCCUCAAAAAAGAGUGCAGCAUGGGGUGCCUGGGUGGCUCAGUGGGUUAAGCUGCUGUCUUCGGCUCGGGUCAUGAUCUCAGGGUUCUGGGAUCGAGUUCCGCAUCAGGCUCUCUGCUCAGCAGGGAGCCUGCUUCCUCCUCUCUCUCUGCCUGCCUCUCUGUCUACUUGUGAUCUCUCUCUGUCAAAUAAAUAAAUAAAAUCUUUAAAAAAAAAAAGUGCAGCAUUUUUUGUCAUCAGGCAGAUGUGACUUCAAGUGCACACCCUGCCACGUCACUGUACGACCUUGAGAAGCUCCUCAUUCCUGUGUCCUUGGUUUCCUUAUAUAGACAAUGGGCGUUAUUAUGCUGUCUUCUUCCUAGAGUUGCUGUAAAGAUGAGAUAGUGCAUGUGCACACGUUAUCUCAGAACAUAGCGUGAAGUGCAAAAUGAACAUCAAGCAUUGUUUCUUGCCUUGUCAUUUGUGGCCUUAUUCCCAGGUAGGAUAGUUUGGGUUCCCAUCCUGAUAUAAGUCGUGAGAGCCAUUUUAUUUUCUGUAUGGAUUUCAGUGACUACAAGAGAGUCUGAAUACAUGACCAAACGGACUUGAAUUGUUCUCAGUGGUCCCGAGCCUCCGAUUUCCAGGAAUGGUUCAAAAAUCCCCCUAGGGGCAUAGGCCAUGUGGAACUCGCUCAGGAGCUUUAUAGGACUUGGUGACCCUUCUCACUGUGAUAAUGGCACAGCUGAAUUUCCCAGCAGGGAUCAUUAAUGACAGCAGCCCCUGAUCCCACAAAGGAUGGAGCUGAGCUCUUUGCCAGGCCUCCUGGACAAAUACAAUUCUUGCUUAUGAUUCUUGGUUUCAGUCCACUAGGGGGAGGAGAAGCAAACUCCCCCUUUUCCACGGAGUAGGUCAUGGUCAGACAUAGACCAUGGAUUAGCUUCCUACUUCCCUUACCUCUAAAACUCAACCCUUGCUUCCUUGCAGCCCGUCUGCCCCCAAAAUCGUAACAAAUGCUGACCUGCUGGGAUAUAUGAUGUGGAUGAGGAGGAAAGGCAAAAGGGGAGCAGGGAUAUAUCCCACAUCUCCUCACAUAUUCAUUGUGUGUUCAUCCCAGAUUUUCCUAAAGAUUCAUCACCACCCUAUGUGAUAGAUACUGUCAUUCCCAUUUCCACUUUAAUUUUAGGUGAAGAAACGACAGGUGAGAAAGGGGAAGAAGUAAAGUGCCCCUGACACACAGCUACCAAGAGUCUGUGGUACCAUAUCCUAUUCUUCCUGUUGGUUCCUGCAGUUGUUUCAUGGUUCCAUUUAAACAGGUGGGGAAACAGGCUCGAGGAUACUCAAGGAGCCACAGUGAAAAAGAGGUAGCGAUGGAUUUUGACCUCAGGUCUGUGGUCUUUAACCCUCGGCUACCUCCAGUAUACCAACAACAUCCUUCUUACUCCGAGUGUGAACCAGCAGCAUCUGUCAUCACCUGAAAAUUGUAAGAUGUGGCUUCCUAGGACCCACUUAGAUCCACAGAGUCUGGGCUGCGUUGCCACACAAGCUCAGGGGGAUUAUGGGUACUCUGAUGUUUGAGAAGCAGCGGUCUGCGUAGUUCAUCCUGGCUGUGAAGGACACUCGCUACGGGCAGAGGCACUGGGGCAGCUGGUGUCCCAAGCUGGCCCCAGCCAUCCUUUCCCUCUCCCUGUGUGCAUGACACUCCUCACACCAAGGGGCGGAACUUGUGUCCCUUGAAUCUGUACUGUACCAUGAUUGGCUUUAGCCCUCAGAAGGCACCGAAAAUGAUGUCCCAGGAUGUCUGAGCAAUUUCUGCUUCUUGCCUCUCAGAUUCCAGAUGCCAUGCUGUGAGCAGCUCAGGCUGCAUUGAAAAGACACGGGGGUGAGACGUGAGGCACUCCGAUUGACGGUCCCAUCAGAGCAUCCACCUGACCCCCGCUGCUGGCCAGGAAAAAAAGAAGAAAAGAAAGGAAGAAGAAGAAAAAGAAAAGAGAGAAGAAAGGAAGGAAUGAAGUAGGGAGAAAGGAAGAACCGUCAUCCCUGAGGUUGAUUUUAAAGAACUGGCCAUUGGCUAAAGGAAUUAGGAAAAAGCACGUCUGUUUUCCCCACUCUCACAAAGGAGCUAUUCCUGGAUCACAUUUGAGGAGUCUGCGGAUAUGGAAACAUGGACGAGGUGGGGGGACAUGUUUGUACAGCAAUAGCGCCGACUGCAGUCAAGGCAGCAGUAAGCUUUGUCAGUGGAUAUCAAGAGAAGAUAUGAUAUCUGUCUGCUUCUGUGAGCUCAGAACUGGGCUGGGUGACAUCACACACACAUACACACACACACCCUCCUGCUUUGAGCUUACUCAUCAAGGAAAUGGAAAUGAGUUAAUAUGCUUAGAAUAUCACUUAGGUUCCUUCAGGAUGUAAGUAACAGAAGACCAACUCCAUUUGGUUUAAUUUUUUUUUUAAGAUUUUUAUUUAUUUAUUUGAUAGACAGAGAUCACAAGCAGGCAGAAGGCAGGCAGAGAGAGAAGGGGAAGCAGGCUCCCCGCUGAGCAGAGAACCCGAUGCGGGGCUCUAUCCCAGGACCCUGAGAUCAUGACCUGAGCUGAAGGCAGAGGCCUAAACCACUGAGCCACCCAGGCACCCCAUUUAUUUUUUUAAAAAGAUUUAUUUAUUUGAGAGGGAGUAGGGGAGAGGGGCAGAAGGAGAGAGAAUCCUGGAACAGCCCCCUCACUAAGAAGGAGCCUGAUGCAGAGCUCCAUCCCAGGACCCCGAGAUCAUGACCUGGGCAGAAACUAAGUGUUGGCCUCUCCGAUGAUGAGCCUACCAGGUGCCCCUCCAUUUGGUUUAAAUGGUAAAGACAUUUAUUAACUCACAAGAUACUCAUUGAGAGGUAGAGCAGACUCCAGUGCCCACAGUGUCUUGGGAUUUAAGCUCCUUCCACUACUUCUCUUUCCCAUAAAGCUAGUUAUACUUACAGUUGCUUUAAUUGAUAUAUUUCUGAACCCACAGUUAUGUUUCCUGUAGGUGUGCAUUCAGUGACUUCUUGCUCCUUGAUCACUUUUAAAAAGUGAGUUAAACUUCAUUCUCCUCCUCUUUUUUUUAAGGAUUGUAUUUAUUUGACACAGAGAGAGAUCACAAGUAGGCAGAGAGGCAGGCAGAGAGAGGAGGAAGCAGGCUCCCCACUGAGCAGAGAGCCUGAUGUGGGGCUCAAUCCCAGAACCCUGAGAUUAUGACCUGAGCUGAAGGCAGAGGCUUAAUCAACUGAGCCACCCAGGUGCUCUAAACUUCUUCCUCUUUUUAAUAAUAAAUCAUGGUUUUUCACUUCCAUUCUCUCUAGUAAGAGGCCGACUUGUCACUUCAACAUCAUCACAGUGUUCUUUUGGAAUGUGUAGCUUUUGUCAGGCAAUGGAUUUCAUCUGUUCUGUCGUACCUUACAAAUUCUGAAUCUGCUUGUCUUUUGCUGAAAGGAGCUGAGCACUCCUCAGUACUCCUCUACUCCUGCUGGUGUUGAACAUGGCCCACUUUCUGCUUCUGCUCCUGUAAGGGCUGAAGCAGUGCUCUCUUCCCCUGCUGCUGGUUGUCAAUGAUCUGUUGCUCUUUUAUUUCCCCCUCAAGGUCAUCUUUUAACUCAUUGAGUUGAAAGACCUCACACUCUAGUUCUACAGUCUCGCCUAGGAUUUUAGGUCAACCACAGGGACAGUGUGACUCUGUUGUUUCAGGUGCUCCAGGUCUUUGUUCACGGGAGGAUUUUUGUCAGCCAACCAGGCUUUCAUCUGUUCUAUCACGUCUUGCAAAUUCUGAAUCUGCUCGUCUUUUACUGAGGGGAGCUGAGCAUGUUUAACAUUCAUCUCCUGUCAGUAGGAAGAUGAAGCCACCCAGGCACCCCAAGAUCAUAUUUUAACUCCUUGAGUUGAAAUACCUCACACUCGAGUUCAACAAUCUCAACCAGGAUUUUAGGGUCAACCCCAGGGACAGUGAGACUCUGUUGUCUUAGCCACUCCAGGUCUGCAUUCACAUGGGGAUUUUUAUCUGUCCCGAAUGGGGGACACAUAUCUUUGUCCUCCGUGGAUGGCUGUAAAAUGUCAUUGCUUCUUAAGGUUCCAGUCGAUUUACCGAAUUCCUCCUGAAACUCUGGCCUUUCUCUAAGCUCUUCAAUGUACACGUCUUGCUCUCUGACACAUUGUGUCAAUUGCUUCUGCUCCUCCAAAGCAGAGGACAGCAGUUUCUUCAUUUCUUGAUGGUCGGCAUCCAUCUGUUCCUCUUUUGGAGGUGUGGUAUUUCCAGGUCUUUCUCUUGACCGAGUUGAAUGAAAUGCGCAUGCUCUACCAGUGACCAUUCUUUGAGACUUCACUCAGACUUGUUUGUCUCUUCCAACAGCUUCUUUUCGGCCCCACACAAUUUUGCUAGUAAAUCUCCUUUCCCUAUUUGUAAAGCCCUCACAGCAAUGUUGUUCUCCAGAGAAUCUUCAUUGUUCCACAGAAUAGAUUUUUCCAGCUGAUGUCUUACAUCUUGGAGCUCCAAAAGCAACUUUUGGUGUUUUGCUCUGCGAUAAGAAGCAACAUUGUUUAAACUGUCCUUCAGCUGCUGCAUCUCUGCAAGUUGUUGCUUCAAUCUUCUGAGUUCAGUUUCCCUUGAAAGAAAUCAUCUUUCACGUUCCCAGCAGAGUCUUGAUUUUGCAGGUCUUCCACCUGUUUUUGAUACUCAAUUAGUUGCCCGCAAGGUCUCUCAUUGACUUCUGCCAGUUUCUCCUGAUGGGCAUUCUGCAAUAGCAUCAUGCCAAGCUGAUGUCAUCCAACCCCCUCAUUCAGUGCUGUUCUGUCCCUGGUGCUCUUCAGUUUCCAGACUGUAUUUGUGUCCCUGGGAUGAAGUCCCUGUUUGGUCCCUGGGAUGAAGACUGGGACAAGUUCUAGUAUAUCACUUUCUGCCUCCAGUGUUAGGAUCUCAUCUGGAGAGUCUGCUGAUGUCUUGCUCUGUCCAGUUGACAUCAGCAAAGUCCAUGUCAUUGCCAUGUAAAGUUCUUUCUUCAGCACAUCUCUGGUGAAAUUGAAGGUAUGGCCCAGGAAAUUAGUCUCCUUGCCAUCCACUCCCACCAGGAAAUGGCCUAGGCGAAAGCCCUGGCCACCAACCCAGAGAGUAAUCCUUGCAGGUCAUAAAACUGACCUGGCCCACUGUGGAAAAGCACCUAGCUUUUUCUUGUGGGAGCUUCAGUCCAUUUGGUCCUUGUUCUGCCACAAACUGGACCCGUCUCCUUUCCUGUGAGUGAGCGUGGUUAUACCUGUUCUUACUUGUUAAAAGAGCGGGUGAGAGAUCAAAUCAGGGAAUAGCUAUGAAAGGCCUUUGUGUCAUAUCACUAUCACCCAGCCUUGCACAUCUCCAAACUGUACUGUAGACACUGUCACAAUGACAAUAAAAUCUUUGUGAUCGUCAAUACGGCAGACACAGGGGCUCUGGGGCUCACAAUCCCACUGGCAGGGUCUUUCACAGGUGCAGAGGACACGUCUACAAGGGUUUUUAUCAAAAGCCCUGUUUGUAACAGCAAAGGAUGAGAAGCCAGGGACCCAUCCUUCACCGGGGCCCCGGUGACAUCAAGUACAUGGCUGACAGCGGCAACAGGCUGGGGACAGGGGCAUGACACAGGCAGUCACUGCAUUCCCUCCGAAUAUAUUUUUAACAUUUUGAACCAGAGGGGCACCUUCACAAAUGAAACAAUUCGGGAAGGAAGAUGUCAAAUGUUCAUUUAUCUUUAAUCUCCAGAAGGUGGUCUCCAUCCCAGCCCUAAAUUUAGAACUUUACAAUGACAUUCUGUCUUUAGUAGAAAUGCCUUUAUCAGCUACCUGACAGAACGGACUUAAGGAAAAUAUUCUGAGAGAGACACAGAGACAAGCUAUCCCUCAGUGAGGUCGGAAAGCAUCCCUGCAGAGCCGCCCCAGGAGAAGAGCAAAUGAGGAUUCUGCUGCUCUUCUUCAGGGUCAGCGAUUUAUCUGUGGACUCAUGGGAGAAAUAGGGACUUUCACAUUCUUUUUUUUUUUUUUUUUUUUAAUUUAAAGCUGCUGCAACUAAAGUAAGUAGAAUCUAUUUAAUGAUUUAAUGGUAGAAUUAAUGAUUUACAAAUAAAAUGCCCUGUGGAGCACCUGGAUUCCUCAGUCAGUUAAGCGUCUGCCUUUGGCUCAGGUCAAGGACUCAAGAGUCGUGAGAUCAAGCCCCACAUCAGGCUCCCUGCUCAGCUGGGAGCCUGUUUUUCCGUCUUCCUCUGCCCCUUCCACUCAUGCUCUCCCUCUGAAUAAAUAAACAAAAUCUUUAAAGUGUCCCAUGAUUGGUACAUAGGAAAGAAAGUAUUUUAUAUCAGAACAUCAGAUCGUAAUGUUCCUCUUUGAAAUAUGCUUUUUCAUGGCCAAGUACAAACUACUUAGGACUCAGAUAAAACUCAAAAGGCAAGAUAAUGAUGAAAUAAUAUUUUCAAAUCAUGAAACGGGGCUAAUAAAUGUUGAAGCAAAUAAGUAAAUAUAGGCCAUUAUCUCUUACCCUGUUUCCUUCAUCUCUAUCCUGUGUGGGUAAAAGCCUCUAUGGUUAUAAAAUGGCCUCACAGAUUCUCUGCUGAAGGGGAAGGCACAAGCAAAUGUUGCUGAAUAAAUGGACUUGUUCAGCUCUGGGGUGGGGAGCUGGGGUAAAGGAGAUGGGAAAUAAAAGAGGGGGAAAGAAAAAAAUCUGUGUUCUAAGUCCUAUUGCUUACAGCAUAACUAUCAAGAACAAAAUUUGAGUAGCAUUUAGAAAUGUACUGCAAUGUGAUACAGGAGUUCUUGGUCUAUUGAUUCUCCUAAUAAAUUGAGCUUGCAGUUUACAGGUUAUCUUGCAUUUUAUGUUUCUAGGAAAUCAUUUUUAUUGUGUGUUAUAGAAUAUCAUUCACAACAGACUGGAUAUUGAAACAAAAACUUAAAAGAUGCUCACCACAUUCUAUUUGGCCUGCAGUGUGGAGAUGCCAGCCCAGCAGAGGAAGAAGGAAGGCAGGCUGCUGACAUGCUGCCUGGGGCACCCAGGUCCUGGGGCUCCAAGGUGGGUCCCUGCCUCUGGUUAGGAAAGCUGUCUCAGGAGCCCAGGAGGGAGGGUUCAGGCCUCUUAGGCCUGGCCCCAUCUUCCUAAAGCCUGGUUCACCCUCAGCUCAAAGUAAGGUGCAUGUCCUUACUGUCAGGGACCACCACUUUAAACUUCCUUUGCAUUUCCUACAGAAUCUACCCACAGGCUCCAUCUUUAGGGCCAGGAUUCCCUACAUGCCCAAGCACUUGGGGUCAUCUGGCUAAUUUCUCAAUCUGGGUGAGAUUGAGUCACCCUCCCAUCUCAAGUCCUUUCACUGCUUGCUAGAGGCUGCAGAGCUUAAUAGUGUUACCAUCAUUUUACUAAGGUCAAGAAAAUACUCCCUUACAUAACAGACAGUUCACAAUAAAACAUAAAUGACUCAAACAUAUAAAAUGAUUUUGAACUUUACCCCCCAAAUUAGAGGAAUAUAAAAUAAAGAUAUCAUUUUUCACAUAUCAGAUUAACAACACUGAAAAGGCUCCUAAUACACUGUGUUGGUGAGGAUGUUGGGAAAUGAGCACUUUCAUAUGCCACUGGAGAGAGUGAACACUGGAACUCUCUCUUGUGAAGAAAUAAUCCCUAAAACCUUGGGCCUCUGGGAUGAUGAGGGGACACUGAGCGGGAGGGGGUCACUUGUGCCUGUGAAUUUCGGUUGUCUUCCUCUCCCUCUCCUUAGCAGUCUUACAAAAUGCUAGAUGGAAGGAUCCUGCCAGUAUCCAAGGCUUACUACAGACUUGAAAGGGAGGAAAGGAGGCAGGAGAGGUGAGGUCAGUAGGUUCUGGCCCACUUCUCAGGAACCAGGUCAAGGAGGACCAUCAGCUACCUCCAACGGUCAACAGAGGCACAUUUUGUGCUCCAUUACAAAUCUCAGCAGACUCACCAUCCAUCUUGGUGCUCGCAUACACGGCCCCUCAUCCACCCCCUUCCCUACCCCAGCAGCCAUUUUUCUCUCUUUGCUCAUUUGCCUAACUCCUUUCCCAGGACUCUGCAGAGCACAGAAUCUCACCUCAUACCUUUCCUGGAAGACCUGCCACCAUUUAUUCCCUCACUGGCAAGAGCCAGACAACUCUGCUCAACCACAAGUUCUGUGUCCAUAGAAAAGGAGAUCCAGGAUUGUUUGCUAAUAAUUUUUCCUAAAACUCAUGAAUGAGUAAGCCUUUCCCCCGGCUCUGUAUUAGGUACCAGUCCUUCCACAUCCCUUAAGCAGUUCAUAGUGGGAAAACCAGGAACCAAUAAACACAACAGCUACAACCUAGAAAAUGCUGCAGUAGCCUAAACUCUGGUCUACACAACCUGCAAAAUACUGUGGUAGCCUAAACUCUCCCCAGUCUACUGUACAAGAAACCAAAGUUUUAGUUUCAGGGAACUGAAGCCCAGAUUAACACUGAAGGUCUUCUGGCAGCUGUGAGUGGACCCAGCCUCAGGAUAAGGAGAAAUAGCGGAAGGAGACUGGAUCCCUAGAAGCAUGCCAAGUCAUUGUGGGCCUGGAGCCUGCUCUGCCCUCAUUGGAUAUCUUGUGAAUUAAUAAAUGUCUUUAACAUUUAAACCAAAUGGAGGGGCACCUGGGUGGCUCAGUCUGCCAUCCCUUCCUUUGAUCUCAGGAUCCUGGAAUCGAGCCCCAUGUCGGACACUGCUUAUCAGAGUCUGCUUCAGGAUUCUCUCUCCCUCUGGCCCUUCCCCCAAUCCCCAUUCACUCUCUAAAUAAGUCUUUUUUUAAAAUGUAAUAAACUGAGAGGGGGAAGGCAAGAUGGUGCACCGGUAGGGACCUCGUUUCAUCUGGUCCCUUGAAUUUAGCUAGAUAACUAUCAAAUCAUUCUGAACACCUAUGAAUUCAACCUGAGACAUAAGGAAAGAAUUGUUGGAAUUCUACAGAUAGAAAAGUGACCACUUUUUGCAAUGUAGGAGGUGCCGAGAAAUGAAUCGGCAGGGAUAUGUGGGAAGAUCCUCUGUGCAGAGAGGGAGCCUGUGUAAGCCGGCCACAGGAAAGUGAGGUAUCCCUAAAGCAUAAAAUCAGAACCUUUAGAAAUCUGCUCCAGUGAGAGCUGUCCUUGCCCAGGCGAUGAGGUGGGGCAGAAUCCAAGGAGGGACAGUGUGGUCUCAGGACCCCUGGGGUCACAGAAGCAUGGGGUGUCUAAGCCAGUAGAGUUCCCAGACAUUGGAGUGGGGAAAUUGGAUAGGGUCGGGGAGCAGAGGAGGGGGGUCUCGAUAAGGUUUGCCAUAAUCUGCAAACUGUGGCUAGGUUGGGCAGCAGCUGUUGUGUGGGGGCCCUGCAUAGGACAGAAAGAGCAGUGACCUUCUGCCUUCUCCCAGGAGGAUUGGGGCAGGCACGAGCCACAGGAGACUGCAGAGUCUGGCAUGCACAAAAGUGAAGGUUGCUUAUUCCUGACAGUUCUGAAAGAGUGGACCGAGAUCUUUCACUCUGGGGCUGGAAAUCGGCACAGGAAUUCUUAUUUUCAUCCUCUAAAGUGGCCCACAAAGGCUUCAGGGAACAAGAGUGGCACAGAGCAGUUUACACUGAGCACGGCCCCCUGGCAAGGGGCGGUACAACUCCCCCCCAGGCAGAGAUGACUGAGAAUCAGCACAGCAGGCCCCUUCCCCAGAAAACACCUGGAAGAACAAGUGAACACCAAGUUUAGGAGCACAAAGGAGUGCAAAAUUCCAAUACUAAGGGAAAACAGUAAAUAGAAUUCAAAGGUUUUUUCAUGAUUUAUCUUUCAGUCUAAAAUUUUUCCUUUCCUUUUUUUUCUUUUUUCCAUUCCAAUUAGUUUAUUAUUUUAUCAACUCUUCUUUUUUAAGUCUUUUUUUUUUUUAUUUGACAGAGAGAGAGAUCACAAGUAGACAGAGAGGCAGGCAGAGAGAAGGGAGAAGCAGGCCCCCUGCUGAGCAGAGAGCCCAAUGUGGGGCUCGAUCCCAGGACCCUGAGAUCAUGACCUGAGCCGAAGGCAGCGGCUUAACCCACUGAGCCAUCCAGGUGCCCCCCCCUUUUAAGUCUUUCUAAAUUUUCAUUUUCUGUAUUUACAUUUUUUAGAUAUAUUCUUCAUUUUUUGCUUCCUUUCACUGUAUUCAGUGUUAUGUUUGUAUAUAUGUAACUUUGGUGAUUUUACACUUUUGGGAUUUGGUGGGGGUUUUUUUGUUUGUUUUUGUAUUUGUGGGGUUUUUUGUCUUUUUUUUUUUCCAGAGAGAGAGAGAGAGAGUGCAUGCAUGCACAAGUGGAGAGAGAAGCAGGCUCCCUGCAGAGCAAGGAGCCCAAUGGGGAACUCGAUCCCAGGACGCCGGGAUCAUGGCCUGAGCCAAAGGCAGGCUUAACUGACUGAGCCACCCAGGCCUCCCGGAUUUGGUGUCUUUUAACAACCCAGUACCUCCUGGAGGUUUGACCACCUGGGAGAUUAUAUUCUCUUUUUGCACCCCCAUCCCCACAUUUUUUUUUCCUUUGGUUUUUGGUUUCUGACCUCUUUGAAUUUCACUAGUGUGUAUUUUGCUUGGGUCAUGGUUGAUAUUUUUUAUUUUGCUCUCUUAUUCAUUCAUUCUUCUCUGGGCAAAAUGAAUAGGAGGAGGAAUUCACACACACACACACAAAAAAAAAAAAACAGAAAAUACUCUCUGCCACAGAUCUAAUCCAUAGGGAUGUAAAUAAAAUGUCAAAGAUGGAAUUUGGAAUAAUGAUUAUAAGGUUAUUAGCUGGGCUUGAAAGAAGGAUAAAAGACACUAGAAAAUCUCUUAGUGCAGAAAUAACAUGUAAUCAGGCUGAAAUUAAAAAUGCUUUAACCGAGAUUCAGUCUAAAUUGGAUGAUCUAACAGCUGCAGUACAUGAGACAGACGAGAAAGGAAAUGACACAGAAGACAAGUGGAUGGAAAGGAAGGAAGCUGAGGAAUAGAAAAGCAACUAAUGGACCAUGACGGGAGGCUUCAAGAAAUCAGCAAAACCAAAUGUGAAACAAUAUUAGAAAUGUGGUCCCUGAGGAGAUAGAGAGAGAGAUACACACACAGAAUAUAUUUAAACAAAUCAUAGCUGGAAACUUCCCUCAUCUGGGGAAGAAUGCAGGCAUACAAGUUCAAGACCUAGAGAGGACCCCUUUCAAAAUCAAUAAAAAUAGAUCAAUACCGCAACAGAUAGGAGUGAAGCCUGCACAUUUUCAGAAACAAAGAGAAAAUCCUGAAAGCAUCUCAAGACAAAAGGUUCCUAACCUACAGGCGUGGCAACAUUACGCUGGCAGCAGACCUAUCCACAGACCUGGGAAGCCAGAAAGGGCUGGCAUAGAUCUUUGGGGUACUAAAUGAGAAAAACAUACAGCAAAGAAUACUUUAUCCGGCAAGGCUGUCACUCAGAAUGGAAAGAGAGAUAAAGGGCUUUCUGGACAAAGAGAAACUGAAAGCCAGCCCUGUAAAAUAAAUAUUAGAGGGGAUCUUUGAAACGAGGAGAGAGCCCAAAAGUAAGAGAGACUGGGAAGAAACAGACAUUCUACAGAAACGCAGACUUUAGAGGUAAUACAAUGGCACUCAAUUCAUAUCUCUCAAUAGUUACUCUGGAUGUAAAUGGGGUAAAUGAUCCAAUCAAAAGACACAGGGUGGGACACCUGGGUGGCUCAGUCAGUUAAGCCACUGCCUUCAGCUCGGGUCAUGAUCCUAGAAUCAAGUCCCCCAUCAGGUUUCUUGCUUGACAGGAAGCCUGCUUCUCUCUCUGCCUCUGCCUGCCACUCUGCCUGCUUGUGCACUUGCUAUCUCUCUCUGAUAAAUAAAAAUAAAUAAAUAAAAAUAUCUUUUUUAAAAAGAGACACAGGGUAUCAGACUGGAUAUGCUAUCCACAAGAGACUCAUUUUAGACCUAAAGACACCUCCAGAUUGAAAAUGAGAAGGUAGAGAUCUAUUUGUCAUGCUAAUGAACCUCAAAAGAAAGCUGAGGUAGCAACCCGCAUAUCAGAGAAAUUAGAUUUUAAACCAAAGACUGUAGCAAGGGAUAAAGAAGGAUGUUUAAAGGGUCUAUACCCAACAAGAAGUUAUAAGAAUUACAAAUAUUUAUGCUCCUACCUUGGGAGUAGCCAAUUAUAUAAGCCAAUUAAUAACCAAAUUAAAGAAACACUUUGAUAAUAAUACAAUAAUCAUAGGGGACUUCAACACCCCACUCAGAUAAUGGACAGAUCAUCGAAGCAGAGGGUCAAUGAGGAAACAAGGGCUCUGAAUGACACACUGGAUCAGAGGGACUUAAGGGAUAUAUAUACUUACAGAAUAUUCUAUCCUAAGCCACAGAAUACACAUUCUUCUCCAGUGCACAUGGAACAUUCUCCAGAAUAGAUCACAUACUGAGUCAUAAAUCAGGUUUCAACUGAUAUUACAGUUGCUUUAAUUGAUAUAUUUCUGAACCCACAGUUAUGUUUCCUGUAGGUGUUCAUUCAGUGACUUCUUGCUCCUUGAUCACUUUUAAAAAGUGAGUUAAACUUCAUCCUCCUCCUCUUUUUUUUAAGGAUUGUAUUUAUUUGACACAGAGAGAGAUCACAAGUAGGCAGAGAGGCAGGCAGAGAGAUUAUUCCCUGCAUAUUUUCAGACCACAAUGCUUUGAAACUGGAACUUGAGCACAAGACGACAUUUGGAAGAAACUCAAAGACUUGGAGACUACAGAGCAUCCUACAGAACAAUGAAUGGGUCAGCUAUGAAUUUAAAGAAGAAUCUUAAAAAUUCAUGGAAAUGAAUGAAAAUGAAAACACAGGUGUUAAAAACCUUUGGGAUAUAGCAAAGGUGGUCCUAAGAGGAAAGUACAUAGCAAUGCAAAACUUUAUCAAAAAAUAAGAAAAGUCUCAAAUAUACAGCUAACCUAACACCUAAAGGUGCUGGGAAAGGAGGAGUGAAUAAAGUCUAAACCAAGCAGGAGAAGAGAAAUUGCAAAGAUUAGAGUGGAAAUCAAUGAAAUAGAAAUGAGACGAACAGCAGAACAGAUCAAUGAAACUAGGAGCUGGUUUUGAAAUUAUUAAUAAGAUUGAAAACCCCCUAGCCAGACUUAUCCAAAAGAAAGGGGAAAGGACCCAGAAUAAUAGCAUGAAUGAAAGAGGAGAGGUCACGACCAACACCAAGGAAAUACGAACAAUUUUAAGAACAUAUUAUAAGCAACUACAUGACAACAAAUCGGUUAUCCAGAAAAAACAGAUGCAUUCCUGGAAACUUAAAAACUACCAAAAUUGAAUCGGGAAGAAAGAGAAAAUCUGAACAGACCCAUAACCAGCAAGGAAACUGAAGCAGUGAUCAAAAAAUCUUCCAACACACAAGUCCAGGGCCAGAAGCCUUCCCAGGGGAAUUCUACCAAACAUUUAAAGAAAAACUAACACCUAUUCUUCUGAGGCUAUUUCAAAAAAUGGAAGUGGAAGGAAAACUUUCAUGCCUGUUCUGUAAGGCCAGCAUGACCUUGAUCCCCAAAUCAGACAAAGACCCAUGGAUGUAAUGUUAAAAGGACUACUCACCACAACCAAGUGGGAUUUAUUCUUGGGAUGUAUGGGUGGUUCAACAUUCACAAAUCAAAUCAACAAACACAUCACAUUAAUAAAAGAAAGGACAAGAGCCAUAUGAUCCUCUCACUUGAUGCAGAAAAAGCACUGGACAAUAUGCAGCAUCCUUUCUGGAUUAAAACUCUCCACAGUGUAGGUAUAGAGGGAACAUACCUCAAUAACAUAAAAGCCAUCUAUGAAAAGCCCACAAUGAAUAUCUUUCUCAGUUUGGAAAAACAGAGCUUUUCCCCUAAGGUCCAGAACAUGACAGGGAUGCCCACUCUCACCGUAGUUGUUCAACUAGAAGUCCCAGUCUCAGCAAUCAGACAAAAAGAAAUAAAAGGCAUCUGAAUGGGCAAAGAAGUUAAACUCACUCUUUGCAGAUGACAUGAUGCUUUAUGGGGGAAACCCAAAAGACACCAGCCCCAAAUUGCUAGAACUCACACAAGAAUUCAGCAACAUGGUAGAAUAUAAAACUCAAUGCACAGAAAUCAGCUGCAUUUCUAUACACUAACAAUGAGACAGAAGAAAGAGAAAUGAAGGAAUUGAUCCCAUUCACAAAUGCACCAAAACCCAUGUAAAAGUAUGCCAUGGAUCUGAAUAAUGCUGAAGUACUUAGGGAAAAAAUAAAACAUUUAAGAACAUG